GACGAACGCUGGCGGCGUGCCUAAUACAUGCAAGUCGAACGCACAGUUUAUACCGUAGCUUGCUACACCAUAGACUGUGAGUUGCGAACGGGUGAGUAACGCGUAGGUAACCUGCCUGGUAGCGGGGGAUAACUAUUGGAAACGAUAGCUAAUACCGCAUAAUAUUGAUUAUUGCAUGAUAAUUGAUUGAAAGAUGCUAUUGCAUCACUACCAGAUGGACCUGCGUUGUAUUAGCUAGUAGGUGAGGUAACGGCUCACCUAGGCGACGAUACAUAGCCGACCUGAGAGGGUGAGCGGCCACACUGGGACUGAGACACGGCCCAGACGCCUACGGGAGGCAGCAGUAGGGAAUCGUCGGCAAGGGACGAAAGUCUGACCGAGCAACGCCGCGUGAGUGAAGAAGGUUGUCGGAUCGUAAAGCUCUGUUGUAAGAGAAGAACGGGUGUGAGAGUGGAAAGUUCACACUGUGACGGUAUCUUACCAGAAAGGGACGGCUAACUACGUG
rnacentral:rRNA from 1 species